AACGAACGCUGGCGGCAGGCUUAACACAUGCAAGUCGAGCGCCCCGCAAGGGGAGCGGCAGACGGGUGAGUAACGCGUGGGAAUCUACCUUUUGCUACGGAAUAACGCAGGGAAACUUGUGCUAAUACCGUAUGUGUCCUUCGGGAGAAAGAUUUAUCGGCAAGAGAUGAGCCCGCGUUGGAUUAGCUAGUUGGGGGGGUAAAGGCCUACCAAGGCGACGAUCCAUAGCUGGUCUGAGAGGAUGAUCAGCCACAUUGGGACUGAGACACGGCCCAAACUCCUACGGGAGGCAGCAGUGGGGAAUAUUGGACAAUGGGCGCAAGCCUGAUCCAGCCAUGCCGCGUGAGUGAUGAAGGCCCUAGGGUUGUAAAGCUCUUUCACCGGAGAAGAUAAUGACGGUAUCCGGAGAAGAAGCCCCGGCUAACUUCGUGCCAGCAGCCGCGGUAA
rnacentral:rRNA from 2 species